AUUGAACGCUGGCGGCAUGCUUUACACAUGCAAGUCGAACGGCAGCACAGGUGCUUGCACCUGGUGGCGAGUGGCGAACGGGUGAGUAAUAUAUCGGAACGUACCCGGAAAUGGGGGAUAACGUAGCGAAAGUUACGCUAAUACCGCAUAUGCCCUGAGGGGGAAAGCGGGGGAUUCGCAAGAACCUCGCGUUUUCGGAGCGGCCGAUAUCGGAUUAGCUAGUAGGUGAGGUAAAGGCUCACCUAGGCGACGAUCCGUAGCUGGUCUGAGAGGACGACCAGCCACACUGGAACUGAGACACGGUCCAGACUCCUACGGGAGGCAGCAGUGGGGAAUUUUGGACAAUGGGCGAAAGCCUGAUCCAGCCAUGCCGCGUGAGUGAAGAAGGCCUCGGUUGUAAG
rnacentral:rRNA from 1 species